rnacentral:tRNA from 1 species
AGUCUCGUAGCUCAGACGGUUAGAGCGCUACACUGAUAAUGUAGAGGUCCGCGGUUCAAUUCCGCGCGAGACUACUUUCCCAAAAAAAGGGGGGGGGGA